UCAAAGGCCCUUUUUAGGGCCGCCCACAUUUUCUUAAACCGGGCUG
rfam:Canis lupus familiaris chromosome 35, whole genome shotgun sequence.